rfam:Stegodyphus mimosarum contig50162, whole genome shotgun sequence.
GCCUUUGUGGUGUAGUGGUCAGCAGGCUUGACGCGUAACCGCGAGGUCCGUGGUUCGAUUCCCGGCGAAGGCG